rnacentral:rRNA from 1 species
CCUACGGGAUGCAGCAGUGAGGAAUAUUGGUCAAUGGGCGCGAGCCUGAACCAGCCAAGUCGCGUGAGGGAUUAAGGCUCUAUGGAUCGUAAACCUCUUUUAUAAGGGAAUAAAGUGUGGCACGUGUCCUAUUUUGUAUGUACCUUAUGAAUAAGGAUCGGCUAACUCCGUGCCAGCAGCCGCGGUAAUACGGAGGAUCCGAGCGUUAUCCGGAUUUAUUGGGUUUAAAGGGUGCGUAGGGGGCUUUUUAAGUCAGCGGUGAAAGUUUGCGGCUCAACCGUAAAAUUGCAGUUGAUACUGGCGGUCUUGAGUAUAGUUGAGGUAGGCGGAAUGCGUGGUGUAGCGGUGAAAUGCUUAGAUAUCACGCAGAACCCCGAUUGCGAAGGCAGCCUACCAAGC